UACGGAAGGCAGCAGUGGGGAAUAUUGCACAAUGGGCGCAAGCCUGAUGCAGCCAUGCCGCGUGUAUGAAGAAGGCCUUCGGGUUGUAAAGUACUUUCAGUCGUGAGGAAGGUGUUAAGGUUAAUAACCUUAGCAAUUGACGUUAGCGACAGAAGAAGCACCGGCUAACUCCGUGCCAGCAGCCGCGGUAAUACGGAGGGUGCGAGCGUUAAUCGGAAUUACUGGGCGUAAAGGGCACGCAGGCGGUUAAUUAAGUUGGAUGUGAAAUCCCCGGGCUUAACCUGGGAAUGGCAUUCAAGACUGGUUAGCUAGAGUCUUGUAGAGGGGGUAGAAUUCCGAUGUGUAGCGGUGAAAUGCGUAGAGAUGUGGAGGAAUACCGGUGGCGAAGGCGGCCCCUGGGACAAAGACUGACGCUCAUGUGCGAAAGCGUGGGGAGCGAAACAGGGAUUAGAU
rnacentral:rRNA from 1 species